CCUACGGGGGGCAGCAGUGGGGAAUAUUGGGCAAUGGGCGCAAGCCUGACCCAGCAACGCCGCGUGAAGGAAGAAGGCUUUCGGGUUGUCAACUUCUUUUCUGGGGGACGAACAAAUGACGGUACCCCAGGACUACGCCACGGCUAACUACGUGCCAGCAGCCGCGGUCAUACGUAGGUGGCAAGCGUUAUCCGGAUUUAUUGGGUGUAAAGGGCGUGUAGGCGGGAAUGCAAGUCAGAUGUGAAAACUAUGGGCUCAACCCAUAGCCUGCAUUUGAAACUGUAGUUCUUGAGUGCUGGAGAGGCAAUCGGAAGUCCGUGGGUAGCGGUGAAAUGCGUAGAUAUACGGAGGAACACCAGUGGCGAAGGCGGAUUGCUGGACAGUAACUGACGCUGAGGCGCGAAAGCGUGGGGAGCAAACAGGAUUAGAUACCCGAGUAGUC
rnacentral:rRNA from 1 species